CUGUACUAUCUUAUCUAGAUGACUUUACUGUGUUGAAGAUAAUCAAUAUUAAAGUAGUUAAAAUCUGUAUAGCCUAACUAUCAAAUGCACCAGAAUAACUCUUAGAAAACAUGUCCAAAACGAUUUUCUUACUUCUCUCUGCCAUUUUUAUUAUUUGCGUGGUAUCCUGUCAUAAUAUACCUUUUAUCGGUUUCUUCGAUCCUCCUCCCGAUUAUAAGCCGGAUUUAGAAAAUAAUAAUUAUAAAGGAUAUCUGAAGAUGUACAGUAUCGAUCCUGCUGCUAAUUUCCGUCUUUCGUAUCCUUUUCGUCAUCGUAACAUUGAAACAAGGACAACCAAAUCAUUUCCUCGUAUAAAGACCUGAAGAUACAUAUUUUCAUAAUGCAGUAUAAACAGGCCAUUCUAGACUAUAUUAUCUUAAAAAAAUGAGUAACUAG
rnacentral:lncRNA from 1 species